CCGUGCUGCCCUCUUCGGAUGUGGAGCGCCCGGUGAAGGAGGCCAUGGGGAGUCCUGCUGACCGAGAAGUUCCCCGGUGCGCGGCCGGGGGAGCUGUCUUUCGUGUGCGUUGAGGACAUGGCCGUCGUUCGGGGUGUUUUUGCUGGUCUGUUUAUUCCUUCAGGAUUGUCCCGGUGAGGGAGCUUUACAUGUAUCUGAAAUUCUGAACGCGAUGAAUGUCCCUUAGGCUGGUGUGGCGACUGUGUUUUUUCAGUAUAUAUGUAUAAGUCAGUGACUAAUUCAGUUAGGGGCUUUGCAAUUGCUCUGUUAUCACUUUCUAGUAGAUAACUGCUUUUUAUGAGAUGUAUGGAGAAGGCUAGCCUCCAGGUCCAUGUAAUGACAGACAAUUGGUCUAUAACUUAACCUGCAAAGUCACCUUUGAUUA